AUAUACAACAAAAAUUAACUGCUAUACAAAAAAUUAACUUUUUUAUUUUUCAUUUUUUUAUGCCUUUUAUAUUAUUUACAAAAAUAUUUAUACCACUAUAUACAACACUUUAUUUUACAUUUUUUUAUGCCUUUUAUAUUAUUUACAUAAAUAUUUAUACCACUAUAUACAACACCCAAGGGGAUUCGACCUUGGGAGGCCAAGGGAAGCAACAAACGUCAUAACCAUCCCGCUGUCUCGCCACAUGUGAUUAUAAGUUGUUGAUUAAUAUAAUAUAUUUACAUUUCGUUUUCGUUUAAUGAUGUUUGGGAAUUAUCCCACAUCGAAAGAUGGGUAUUCAACUUUGGUAUAUAAAUACCUAUGUAAUAUGAAU
rnacentral:lncRNA from 1 species